rnacentral:rRNA from 1 species
AGGUCCUGCCUGCCCAGUGACUAUGUUAAACGGCCGCGGUAUUUUGACCGUGCAAAGGUAGCGCAAUCACUUGUCUUUUAAAUGAAGACCUGUAUGAAUGGUGGAACGAGGGCCUAACUGUCUCCCUUUUCAAGUCAAUGAAAUUGAUCUACCCGUGCAGAAGCGGGUAUACAAAUACAAGACGAGAAGACCCUUUGGAGCUUAAGAUUAAAAAUCAACUAUGUCAAGUAUUCAUCAAAUAGAACUAAAUAGCAACUGAUCAUAAUCUUCGGUUGGGGCGACCACGGAACAAAAAUAAACUUCCACAUGGACUGAGGACUAACCUUAAAACCAAGAAAAACAUUUCUAAGUCACAGAAUUUCUGACCACACAGAUCCGGCAAAUUGCCGAUCAAUGGACCAAGUUACCCUAGGGAUAACAGCGCAAUCCCCUUUUAGAGUUCCUAUCGACAAGGGGGUUUACGACCUCGAUGUUGGAUCAGGAC